rnacentral:rRNA from 1 species
CGGCACGGGUGAGUAACACGUAUCCAACCUGCCGUCUACUCUUGGACAGCCUUCUGAAAGGAAGAUUAAUACAAGAUGGCAUCAUGAGUCCGCAUGUUCACAUGAUUAAAGGUAUUCCGGUAGACGAUGGGGAUGCGUUCCAUUAGAUGGUAGGCGGGGUAACGGCCCACCUAGUCUUCGAUGGAUAGGGGUUCUGAGAGGAAGGUCCCCCACAUUGGAACUGAGACACGGUCCAA